rnacentral:lncRNA from 1 species
AUGCAAGAACCUGACCCCAGGGGCUGGGGAGAUCCGGUUGCAACUAGCUGUGCAGACUGGCCGGUGGGUGUUGGAGCAUCGGCCAAGGAUGCAGACAAGCUCAGCACCAUCAGCAGCAGCUCAGGGGACGCAGCAUUGAGCCUUCACGUGGCUGACCGCGUCUGUGUCCCUCCUGUGCCGGCGGCCAUGGGCACCUGGUCCCUGAAGAGCUGCCAGGAGGGGGGCAGCGUGUCCCCGCUUCCCAGGAGGAGCUACUAAGCAUCCACCCUUGUCUCCUUGCAGGCCUGGGAAGAGCCCGGCCUCCAUUCCACCAGCAGCACAGGAUAUCGGGGCUCUGCACCUCCACCUGGAACCUCAGGGCAGACGUCUCCGCUCCAUAGCUUUCGUCCUCGGUGUGGCCCAGACCACCAGAAGUGGAGAAGGAUUAUCUGCAGGUGUUAUAUCUCUGGAUUCCCCAAUUCUCUCACAGUCUACUAGGUCCCCAGAGCUAUAUUCCGUGACUCCUACAAGCCUGAGUAAAUUUAUCAGAGAAUUAUUAUUUAACGUUAUGUUCCCAAUUUUUUUGUGUGACAGUAGGAGAAACCAGUACAUUUAUUCAACAAAUAUUAGUUGAACUUUUACCACAUGCCAGGCACUGUUGUGAGCGCAGCAGCAAAGGUUGGUUAUUUGACAUGGAAAACAUCCUUCCCUAGCUUGUUGAAUAUUCCUUUAUGAAAAAAAAAUCUCCUAUUGCUUAGCUGGCCAAAAUAUUAUCUUUUCUGAAAAAAUGGAUACACUUCCUUUUAUUAGGUAAUGUAACAUAUAGGGAAUAUAGCGUGUGUUCAUAUUUCCCUUUUCAAUUUAACUAUCAGGAAACUCAGAGCUGAACGCAAUAUUCAUUGUUUGAUACAAUCAUUUCUUCCUUCAGUCUUUUUUGGUACCCUUUAAUUAUUCAUUGUAUACUGGUCAUCUACUGUAUGUCACUACAAACUCUUUGAAAGCAGAUUGAUCAGAUAUGACUAAUAAAUGACCUAAUUACAUUGCCUUAGCAAUACAUAAAUAUCCACCUGUUGAUAGAUGAUGCUCCUUAAGAAUAUUUUUGGGGUGCAGAGAAGAGAGAAAAAGGUGACCGUGAGUUAUAAGAGAAUAUAGAUACUUCCUACAGGUCAUUACCUCUUCCUUUAGUCCCUCAAUAUUUUCCUGUCUCUCAUAAUCACAGCUCUAAGGGAAUAUUCCUAAUUUAGAAAAGAAUGCUCAACUCCUUUGUGCAGGACACGGGGUUUGAGAAGAUGUGGAGGUGAGUCUUGUCAGCGAUGGAAUUGAGGAAAUGCACUGUGCGGGUCUCCGGGCUUCUUGUAGGCAAGCGAGUUGCUUGUCAAUGCCUGAUGUGGGAGCAUCUUCAUAACGCGUUUCUAUCCUCUGAGCACAUGCAUCUUAGAGCUCACAUGUCAUCAAACUCCGCUAUGAACUGCCAACUUCUUGCUCACCUGGUCCGAUUAAAACGAUAUCAUCCAUAUGGCAAGCCAGACUGAUGUCCCGCAGCC